GGAAAUGGAAGAUGAGAGGAUCCUGGACAACCUGGGGGCAGAGGGACGUCAUGGCUCUGAGUGGGAGUGGAGAAGAUGGCAUUUUGGUGGAUGGGUGGAGGAAGAGCAUAGGCACAGAUGGCCACGUGGAGUGUGGUCCACAGAUAAGUCACCUGGUGGAGUGCAGCCACAGUGCCUGAGUCAGGAGGUCUCAGCUCGUGAGUGUAUCUUAGCUCAACGAUACACUCAAGAUCCUUGAGCUAGGAGAAACCCUAUAAACCACCUAAGUGGAUGCCUUCUCUUUAGAGAGGAGAGAGCUUAGGUCACAGAGAGGCUGUGACCUCCCCCAAGGGUGGUGCAGAAAGCGGCCAUAGCAGUGAAGGGGAAAGGCCUCGUGGCGUUGGGGGGCCACUCGCCAUAAAGGUGUGGGGGUCAGAGAAAGGGAAGAUCAGAGGACACUGGAACUUGACACUGAGCUGAGGAAUGAGACUGGGUGGGAUCAUUCAUAGAAAUUUCAUCUGAAGCCUGGGAAGGAAGUAGGUUUGGGGGGUGGCGGGAAGGGAUGAUGGUGAAGUUAGUUUUUUAAUUAUUGCUUUUAUUUAUGUAUUUAUUGUUUGCAAUUUUGAGGUCUAGUGUCCAUUUAAGUGGAAUGGCUUAGGAAAAGGUGCUCAUAUUUUAAGCUGUUCUCCUGGACUAAGGGUGAAUACAUAGUCCCUCUUUUAACUUGAAUCUAAGUAACAGGUUUUUUGUUUGUUUGUUUUGUUUUUCAAAUGAUAAUAUGUAAUAUUUUAAAUUCAGUAUUCUAAUAAAUGCUAAAUAAGGGAUUUCUGAUUUCAGUUGUUUCAGGAACACAGUCAUCCCUCAGAAAUGGAUUGGGUGACAAGUGGUCUGCAUGCUGCACACGGGCACUGGUGUGAGGCAUGCCCUAGACCCGAGGAAUAUAAAGGGGACUGGGAGAAAGCCCGGCCUCCCUGGAGCUCUUCACGUGAUGACAGGCGCAGAUCAGCGGACAGGCGCGUAACAGGAGGUGCUAAGUGCGCAGGUGGGGUCACGUGCCGCGUCACAGCAGUGCUGGAGGAGAGUCCUGACUCAUGGCCUGGGAUGCUGGGGUUCCUCCCCAGAGAAGCUCUUUUGGACCUGGGAGAAGGAGUAGGACUUUGAUACACCAUGGAGGUCUCUGAAUGUAACCAAAUUGUUCUCCUCUUAUCAUUCCCAUUCACUGGUGUACUUGUUUGUGGAGCCUGCAGAACUGCCUUUUUCAAGAAUGCUUAAGGCUAAUUUAAAAGGAUGGUGAGGAGAUUCUAUUUUCAACUGGCUGAAGUUCAAUAAGAAUAAAAUAAAACACUGUUGUAGCAAACUCUUUCACAGUGGAAGUUUGGCAAAGCUAAAUCUCAUUCCUUUCGAUGUGCUCCAGUACAGCCAAAAUACUGUUCCAGUGAGUAAGACACCCAUUAGAGUGAUGAGCUUCCUACAGAACAAGAAUCUCUCCAUAUUUUAUUUUAAACCAAACCAGUGUUGCAUUGCUUUGUAUUAAGAAUCCAAAAGGAAAUAUUGUGUAAUACAAUCAGUAAAAAACCUACAGUUUCGUUACAGUUAUAUUUUUAUCAUUGGCCUGCGUUUUCCUAAUUUCAGAAGUAUACGUGAUCAUUUUAGAUACAGGAAAUGACUUCUUUUAAUUUUUCUUGUAGUGAAAGUUUUACAAUUCUUUAGUCAAGCCUACUGAUUAGCUUAAAAACCCUAAUAAAAGGAGUGACCACACAUACAUCUCUGUAGGUAUAAAUCAAGGUUGGGAAAUUUUAAAGGUGCAUUUCUUUUUCUUCCUUUUUUUUUUCUUUAACCCUAUGUCUUCUAGGCAGCUUGGCCUCUAAAUCUGCUUCCCACUGAUGGGAAGAGCUGACAGAAGCUUUAGAGAGGCACAGGGUGAGUUCCUAAAACCAGAGUCAACACACACUCUUCAUCUGUUUUGUGCUUCACUCCCUGCUCAUCUUCCUAAAACACUGAGUUUGGUCAUAUCAUGUCCUACAAGUUGUCAAUGAUUUCCCAUGAUCUUGUCUUCAGGAUAAAGUUCCUUAGUCAAAAGCAAUGAAGACCUGACCUAAUCUGUAAGGCAAAAUCAACACUUUUUAGCCUGGCCUUCCAUGCCCUUCCAUGCCCUUCGAGCCCCCAGAGCACCCAUGGCAGUCCAUCUCUCUCUACUUGUCCAGAGGGACACUCUCUUAGAGCCAGUGGCUCCUACUCACGGUUCCCCGAACACGUCGUGGGAAUGUUUGCCUUCAUACCUUCCCAGAUCAUUUUCCUGAUCUCAGACACCCUCCGUCCUCAUUCAUUCACUCUUCAAUUGUCCAACAAAUAUUUGUUGCUCAUGCAACCUGGAUCACCCACAUAGUUUCAAGACUGCAUCUUCUAAACUAUUUAAAUCCUAUCCAUUCUUCAAGAAAUGUUUCAUGACGCUUCCUUAACUGCUAAGGACCCGCAGAUUCUCUUCCUCUUGGGACUCACACACUGACUCAUCUCCCGAUCUUUUGGUGCUCAGCAAAGUGGAGGCUUCUGUUUUGGACUUAGAGUCAAGACCAUUAAAUAAGACUAUGCUCUAAAAAGUACACCUCCGUGGCCCGGAACGAGUGAAUUAACAUCUAUGAGUUUCCAUUUCCUUGUCUAUAAAAUUGUGAAAUUGCAACUUAAGAUUAGUUCUGAAGAUUAAAUGAGGUAACAUAGGUGAAAAUGCUACAUUUAUGUAAGAAAUUACUCUUUCAUAAGGAUGUCAAUGUUUAAAUACGCAUUUUCUCAAUUUUGUUAAUGAAAUACUUUGAAAUUCUUUUUUCUAAUGAAACCUGCUGAAUGUAAAAGAGACCCGUACUAAAGAAAGAUACCACAUGAAGCACCAAGGGUCUCUUUCUGGAUCUAUCAUGACUCUUGUGACUGUUUCAGCAGCACAGAAAUUAAAGGCGAUUGUUAUUCUGGAGGAAGACAAUGAGUCUCAUCUAUAUCUUGUUUGGGUUGAUUUUGUAAACAGAACAUUCCAAAGAUCAUUCUUGCCUUUUGUUUCCACUGAGAACUAGAAUAAAGUAAAACAAACUAUCAAUUUAAGGAAAGCCUCGAAAUUGUUAGCAAUUUCUUCAGUAACUUUCAUCCAUCAACUGAUUUUAUGAACACAAAUUUGCAGAAAUGGGCAAGAAAAACUACUUAACUCAUUGGUGGGAAGCAGUGGGCUCUCUAAGGAGGGAGAGAUAGCAGUGAUUUCACCACCGGACCGUGGAACACAAAGAGCCUGGAAGAGUCUAUCACUUUCAACUGAAACCGCAAGAAGAACUAAGUAGGUUAAGCCCUAAGAAUGUUCCUAGGUAACCUACUUGAGUUGAAAUUUGACUAAGAAUCCUUACACCCUACCUAAGAGAGGUAACGCUAUUAGGAUCGGAAGUGAUUGGAAGCUUUGUUUCAGAUCUCGUCCAAAAGGGAGAACGGUCAAUGACAAAGCUGCUGUGAAUAGUAUUCUGGGGGCGUGGUGGAACCCCGAUUCACUGCUAUCUCCCGAAUCAGCAACUUGACAGAGCGCGCCUCCCGGGCCUUGGAAGCCUUCCAUUCCGAGCUGGCUGGGUGGGACUCAGGUUUUACGGUAUGCUGGACUUUUUCCCCGUGAGUUAAAACACAUUUAUAGUAACUAAGUGGUUAAUGAUGAGAAAAAACCCCAAACUACUGUACUAAUAAUCAACCUCUGCUAUU
ensembl:lncRNA PACRG-AS3 PACRG antisense RNA 3